AGGCCCUCACCAGAAGCAGAUGCUGGUUCCAUACCUCUUGCACAAGCUGCAGAACUGUGAGCACAUCUGAGGAGAACAUGAUGUUCUCUUCAGACUCGAACACAUCUAAAGAGAACUCCUGGGAAGCCGUAAGGACACAUCAUUUGAGCCUCCUGAGGCAGCUGGAACAUCUCCCAUGAGCUGCCCUGCCAACCCCUCCUCCCAAGCCUGCACAGAACCUGAGAAGGGAAGAGAGUGAGAAGCAUCAGGAUUGGCAGAUUGGGGAUUGUGGAAGAAAAACAUGGGGUUAUGGAAGCAGAAGGAAGAGGGAGAAACCUGCUCGGGAACUGUAUUACAGGAUGGUGUUUGCCACUUAGAGCUGCGGAGCCCAGUGGCAUUGCAGAGACAGUGGGCUCUUGUGUAUGCUGUCACACUCCUAAGCUGGUCUUAGAAAUCUUCCACUUGUGCCCAAGUGACAGAUGUUGUCCAACUGAUGCCCAUGCCAGAACCAGCACUUGCACAGCUCUGCUCACAUGAGAGUGUAACAUCGUCUUAAGUAUAGUCUUUAGAUGACUGGAAUUUCUGAGGACAGAAUUUCCACUUAAAAUAAAGCCUAACAAGCUCUCUGGAGAAAUUAGCUGGGGUCAGAGACCCAAACUUGCCAAAUAAACAUAUUGUCAG
ensembl:lincRNA